CCUGAAAAGUUGGUACAGAUGGAUAUAAUUUGGUAGUGGAACAUUUGAA
rnacentral:rRNA from 1 species